GGUCUGAUAGCUCAGUUGGUAGAGCACUUGAUUGAAGCUCAAGGUGUCGGCAGUUCGAAUCUGUCUCGGACCA
rnacentral:tRNA from 1 species